rnacentral:rRNA from 1 species
CAGUCGCCGCGGUAACACGUAGGUCCCGAGCGUUGUCCGGAUUUAUUGGGCGUAAAGGGAGCGCAGGCGGUUUAGUAAGUCUGAAGUUAAAGGCAUUGGCUCAACCAAUGUAUGCUUUGGAAACUGUUAGACUUGAGUGCAGAAGGGGAGAGUGGAAUUCCAUGUGUAGCGGUGAAAUGCGUAGAGAUCUGGAGGAAUACCGGUGGCGAAGGCGGCCCCCUGGACGAAGACUGACGCUCAGGUGCGAAAGCGUGGGGAGCAAACAGGAUUAGAUACCCCAGUAGUCCCUGUCUCUUAUACA